rnacentral:ncRNA from 16 species
GGGAUAGGCAACCUUCACCUCCUCCCGAGGGUAUGCCGACAUUCCGACGGUCCUCUCCUCCUCCCUGGACCCGAGGCUUUAAGACGGUGACGCCCCUCCUCCUCCCUGGGCGUCACCGUUUUU